ensembl:lncRNA
GCAAGAACUGUUUCUCUAGUUUGCAGAUAUCUAAGGUUUGUCUGUCAUGAAUGAUUAGGGACAAUUUUGCAAACAAAGACAGCUUUAGUUAUUCUUUUACAAUCUACAUGCCUUUUGUUUCUUUUUCUUGCUUUAUUACUCUAAGAUCUUCAAAACAAUGCUGAACAGAAGUGGUGAGAGCUGACAACCUUUCCUUGUUUCCGAUCUUAAAGGGGAUCUUCCUGACCCAGGGAUCAAACUCGUGUCUCCUGUUUCUCCUGCAUUGGCAGGUGGAUUCUUUACCACUGAGCCACCUGAGAAGCCCUAGGAAUAUUGCAGGUCCGAAUCAAAGAGGAGAAGGACGUGCUGAAGAUUCCUCAUGUGAGUGAAUCCAUACAGCCAAACUCGUCCUCUCACCCUCUUCAGUGUGCCUGGUGUUGGAUCUGUUUUUCCUCUGGUGCCGUGUGGACCUUCUUCACCGGACUCCUGCAUGGCGACAAAGGCACUCUCCUCUGUGGGUGACUGUCAUAACUGCUGCCCUUUGGUGGAAAUACAAGAGAAAACUCCUAUCUCACCAUUUUGCUGAC